CUACGGGGGGCUCCAGUGGGGAAUAUUGCACAAUGGGCGCAAGCCUGAUGCAGCCAUGCCGCGUGUAUGAAGAAGGCCUUCGGGUUGUAAAGUACUUUCAGCGGGGAGGAAGGGAGUAAAGUUAAUACCUUUGCUCAUUGACGUUACCCGCAGAAGAAGCACCGGCUAACUCCGUGCCAGCAGCCGCGGUAAUACGGAGGGUGCAAGCGUUAAUCAGAAUUACUGGGCGUAAAGCGCACGCAGGCGGUUUGUUAAGUCAGAUGUGAAAUCCCCGGGCUCAACCUGGGAACUGCAUCUGAUACUGGCAAGCUUGGGUCUCGUAGAGGGGGGUAGAAUUCCAGGUGUAGCGGUGAAAUGCGUAGAGAUCUGGUGGAAUACCGGUGGCGAAGGCGGCCCCCUGGACGAAGACUGACGCUCAGGUGCGAAAGCGUGGGGAGCAAACAGGAUUAGAUACCCGCGUAGUC
rnacentral:rRNA from 1 species